rnacentral:lncRNA from 1 species
AUGGCCGCGGCGUCAGCCCUUUUCGCUGUCGCGGCGGCUCCCCGGGCAACUUGGGGGCAGCAUAACCUGGGCGGGGGCGAGACGGGGCGUGAGCGUGGCACGGGGCGGGGCAGGGGCAGGGUGAGGGAAAACCACGGGAUCGCGGAGGGCGACCCGGGAGGUCAGGGAAAAUCCCGAGCGUCGAGGGCGGCGGGGGUAGGGAAAACCACGGGUUCGACCCGGGAGGUCAGGAAAACCCCGAGGUCCCGCGGCGGGACCCGGAGGGGGACGGAGAACCGCGGGAUCGCGGGGAGGGACCCCGGAGGCCGGGGGAGACCAAGGGGACCGGGAGCGGUACCCGAAGGGGCGGGGGAGACCUCGGGGGCGCGGAGGGGCGCCCAGAGGGGCCCAGAGAGCGGGAGACGCGCGAGGGCGGGGAGGCGGGCAGGAGGCGAAGGCACCGCGGGAGAUCUGGGGAAGGAGGAGGGCCUUCCACCGACGGCGACGGGGAGGACGCGGGGGGAGACGGAGACGAAUCGAGAAAGGCCGAGGGGGCGACCGGGCGGAAGAGGGGAACGGGGCGAAGCGGGAGGAGAGCAGAGGGGAGGACGGAAACCAAGGAGACACGGAACCCGAGCGAGAAAGGGAGAAGGCGCGCGCAUGCGUGGGCGUCCGGGCCUCUACCUAGGAUUUGGGGAGGGAGAGGAAAAAACGGGUCGGGGGGGGGAACCGGGCCGAGGCCCGAAAGCCCAGAGGAGCCGACGAGAGAGGCUAAGCUCCGGCGAAGGGCGCCGGACGGCGGGAAGGCCCGAGAGCGGAGGGAGCCGGACGCGCCGGUGGGAUGGGGGCGGAGGGGGCGCGCCGGACACCCGGUCCGGGAUCCUCCCGCCCCCCCAUCCCCGCAAUCGGGGGUGGGGGGCGAGCCGGGGGGGGGGGGGGGCGGGAUUCCCACUCACCCAGCGGGAGCCGCGGGAGGGAGGGAGGGAAGGAGAGGGCCCGGCCCGGCCCGGCUUUAUGCUGGGGGGGUGGAAAAGGGGGCACGUGACAAGGUUGGGGAUGGGGGGGCGUGUCUCCCCCCCCCCCCCCCGGGCAUCUCGCACCCUCCCCGACCGCAGCUCCCGGAACACGCAGACCCCGGGGGGGGGGGGGGGCCGGGGGGGGCGGGCCCGGCGCCCCCUCCCCCGCCAUGGGAAAGUCUGA